rnacentral:tRNA from 1 species
AGGGUAAUAGCUCAGGGGCAGAGCGUAUGCUUAGCAUGCAUGAGGUCCUGGGUUCAAUUCCCAGUACCUCCA